rnacentral:rRNA from 1 species
UGCUGGACGCGCCCCAGGCGCACCCAGAAACCCUUUGUGAACUUAUACCUUUUGUUGCCUCGGCGCUGCUGGUCUCUAGUAGGCCCCUCACUUCGGUGAGGAAAAGGCACGCCGGCGGCCAAAUCAACUCUGUUUUUACACUGAAACUCUGAGAAAAAACACAAAUGAAUCAAAACUUUCAACAACGGAUCUCUUGGUUCUGGCAUCGAUGAAGAACGCAGCGAAAUGCGAUAAGUAAUGUGAAUUGCAGAAUUCAGUGAAUCAUCGAAUCUUUGAACGCACAUUGCGCCCUCUGGUAUUCCGGAGGGCAUGCCUGUUCGAGCGUCAUUUCAACCCUCAAGCAUUGCUUGGUGUUGGGGCACUGCUUCUAACGAAGCAGGCCCUGAAAUCUAGUGGCGAGCUCGCCAGGACCCCGAGCGCAGUAGUUAAACCCUCGCUCUGGAAGGCCCUGGCGGUGCCCUGCCGUUAAACCCCCAACUUCUGAAAAUUUGACCUCGGAUCAGGUAGGAAUACCCGCUGAACUUAAGCAUAUCAAUAAGCGGAGGAAAAGAAACCAACAGGGAUUGCCCUAGUAACGGCGAGUGAAGCGGCAACAGCUCAAAUUUGAAAUCUGGCCUCGGCCCGAGUUGUAAUUUGCAGAGGAUGCUUCUGGCGCGGUGCCUUCCGAGUUCCCUGGAACGGGACGCCACAGAGGGUGAGAGCCCCGUAUGGUCGGACACCAAGCCUGUGUGAAGCUCCUUCGACGAGUCGAGUAGUUUGGGAAUGCUGCUCUAAAUGGGAGGUAAAUCUCUUCUAAAGCUAAAUACCGGCCAGAGACCGAUAGCGCACAAGUAGAGUGAUCGAAAGAUGAAAAGCACCUUGAAAAGGGGGUUAAAUAGUACGUGAAAUUGUUGAAAGGGAAGCACUUGUGACCAGACUUGGGCCGGGCGGCUCAUCAGGGGUUCUCCCCUGUGCACUCCGCCCGGCACAGGCCAGCAUCGGUUCUCGUGGGGGGAUAAGACCGUCAGGAACGUAGCACCCUCCGGGGUGUGUUAUAGCCUGGCGGACGAUACCCCCGUGGGGACCGAGGUCGCGUCCGCAAGAU